rnacentral:rRNA from 1 species
AUUGAACGCUGGCGGCAUGCCUUACACAUGCAAGUCGAACGGCAGCACGGGGCAACCUGGUGGCGAGUGGCGAACGGGUGAGUAAUGCAUCGGAACGUGCCAUUGAGUGGGGGAUAACGUAGCGAAAGUUGCGCUAAUACCGCAUAUUCUGUGAGCAGGAAAGCAGGGGAUCGCAAGACCUUGCGCUGAUUGAGCGGCCGAUAUCAGAUUAGCUAGUUGGUGGGGUAAAGGCCGUACCAAGGCGACGAUCUGUAGCGGGUCUGAGAGGGUGAUCCGCCACACUGGAACUGAGACACGGUCCAGACUCCUACGGGAGGCAGCAGUGGGGGAAUUUUGGGACAAUGGGGGCAACCCUGAUCCAGCCAUGCCGCGUGAGUGAAGAA